rnacentral:lncRNA from 1 species
UUUUUGGUCCUCUUCUUGUUCUAUUGAUCAGAAGCAUCCAGCAGCAGCACGCCGGUUUAGAAUUCGAUUCUAAGGGCUAAGGCCCCCCUUUUUCUUUUCCUCCUGGCCGUGUGUGGGCCACACUUCAGAAAAGCCAAAAAGGGGGUCUCCUAUUUCUCAUCCCAUAGAGAAUCUGCGCAUUGGGGAUUGCCCGAACCAGCCUAAGAUAGGGCUGGCUCUGACGAGUGCCAUAUUUUUUGAUCUGGCUCAAAUACCUAUUUAAGGUAUUUUCAGAAAGCGCAGCCUCCCUAGUAGGGUGGUUAAAGACUAGGCCGCGGAUUUCUGACCUCCAAUCCAGAACGAUAUGGGGGGGAAACCCAUCCCGCACCAAUGCAGCUUCUAUCUUUUUUUCCAGGAGCAUUUGUUUCUCCAAAAUACCCAAAAAGGG